GCCCCUAUGGCAAAGUGGUAACGCGUUGCACUCUUGCACUCGUAUGUGUACGAUCCAUGCAAAGAUCGCUGGUUCGAUUCCAGCUGGGGGCA